CAGUAGCCGCGGUAAUACAGAGGGUGCGAGCGUUAAUCGGAUUUACUGGGCGUAAAGCGUGCGUAGGCGGCUUCUUAAGUCGGAUGUGAAAUCCCUGAGCUUAACUUAGGAAUUGCAUUCGAUACUGGGAAGCUAGAGUAUGGGAGAGGAUGGUAGAAUUCCAGGUGUAGCGGCGAAAUGCGUAGAGAUCUGGAGGAAUACCGAUGGCGAAGGCAGCCAUCUGGCCUAAUACUGACGCUGAGGUACGAAAGCAUGGGGAGCAAACAGGAUUAGAUACCCCUGUAGUCCCUGUCUCUUAUAC
rnacentral:rRNA from 1 species